CUUCUUCAAAAAAAAUAAGCCUGCGAAUCUGAAUGAAGCCUGGAUCGCGAUCAACUCUUUGAUCCUUUUCUUGAUCAUCUUCUUCUCUUCUUUUCUUGCUUUUAUUCCUUAGAUUAUGCUACUACCAAGGAGUGAAAAAUAGCACACAAGGGACACCCAACAGCCCUUGGGCGUGGAAGAGAGAAGACGCCCAAAAGGGUGGGACGUUUAGACGUCCAAGGGAG
rnacentral:lncRNA from 1 species